CCCAGGAGUGGUGAGGGACGUGGGUUCCAGUGUGUGGGCAGCUGGCACCUCAGCUCCAGAGGAGAAAGGCUGGGCCAAGUUCACUGACUUCCAACCUUUCUGCUGGUAACAAAUGCGCUGGCAGGAGGGGGCUGUGCCAGGAAGUGCCUGUCAGGGCCAGGAGGCACCUGUCCCCCAGGACUGAUCCUGUCCUCGUCCUUGUAUGCAGCUCCGAGUCAGGGCCCAGGUGCAGCUCUCCGGUGGACACAGAACGCAGCCAUGCUGAGGGCAGCCGGAGCCAAGGCCCUGAGAAAGCCUUCAGCCCGGCUUCUCCAUGUGCCUGGAACGUGUGUGUCACCAGGAAGGCCCCCCUGCUGGCCUCUGACAGUAGCUCCUCUGGGGGCUCCCACAGCGAGGAUGGCGACCAGAAGGCAGCGAGUGCCAUGGAUGCGGUGAGCAGGGGUCCCGGCCGGGAGGCCCCCCCGCUGCCCACAGUGGCCAGGACAGAGGAGGCUGUCGGCAGGUGUGUGGGGCGUGGCGGGGGCGGGCCUGCCGGGUGCAUAGGGCGUGG
rnacentral:sRNA from 1 species